UACAUGGGGUGCAAACGUUGCUCGGAAUCAUUGGGCGUAAAGCGCGCGUAGGCGGUCAGGCAAGUCGGGUGUGAAAGCCCUGGGCUCAACCUGGGAAUUGCAUUCGAAACUAUCUGACUCGAGUAUGGGAGAGGGAAGCGGAAUUUCCGGUGUAGCGGUGAAAUGCGUAGAUAUCGGAAGGAACACCAGUGGCGAAGGCGGCUUCCUGGACUAAUACUGACGCUGAGGUGCGAAAGCGUGGGGAGCAAACAGG
rnacentral:rRNA from 1 species